rnacentral:rRNA from 1 species
GACGGAGGAUGCAAGUGUUAUCCGGAAUCACUGGGCGUAAAGCGUCUGUAGGUGGUCAAAUAAGUCAACUGUUAAAUCUUGAGGCUUAACCUCAAAAUCGCAGUCGAAACUAUUAGACUAGAGUAUAGUAGGGGUAAAGAGAAUUCCCAGUGUAGCGGUGAAAUGCGUAGAUAUUGGGAAGAACACUAAACAGCGAAGGCACUUUACUAGGCUAAUACUGACGCUGAGAAACGAAAGGUAAGGUAGCGAAACGGAUUAGAUACCCGUGUAGUCUUACCCGUAAACUAUGGACACUAAACGGUAAAUUUUUAAUUUACUGUUAAAGCUAACGCGUUAAGUGUCCCGCCUGGGGAGUAUGCUUGCAAAAGUGAAACUCAAAGGAAUUGACGGGGGCCCGCACAAGCGGUGGAGCAUGUGGUUUAAUUCGACGGUACACGAAGAACCUUACCAGGAUUUGACAUGCUAGAUAGUUGCUUGAAAGAGUAACGUGCCGUAAGGAAUCUAGACACAGGUGGUGCAUGGCUGUCGUCAGUUCGUGUUGUGAAAUGUUGGGUUAAGUCCCGCAACGAACGCAACCCUUGUCUUUAGUUAUUUUCUAAAGAGACUGCCUGUAAUAAACAGGAGGAAGGUAAGGAUGAGGUCGAGUCAUCAUGCCCCUUAUGUCCUGGGCUACACACGUGCUACAAUGGGAAAGACAAUGAGCUGCAAAUCUGUAAAUUUAAGCAAAUCUCUUAAACUUUCUCGUAGUUCGGAUUGUGGGCUGCAACUCGCCCACAUGAAGUUGGAAUCGCUAGUAAUCGCCAGUCAGCUAUAUGGCGGUGAAUCCGUUCCCGGGCCU